rnacentral:rRNA from 1 species
AUGGCGCAUUUCUGGAGUGUCGCGGCGGCCGAGCUCACCGGCAGCCACCUCGACGAGGUCAAGCGCAUGGUGGCGCGAUUCCGUGAGCCUGUCGUCAGGAUCCUGGCGGCCGGCCUCAGCGUCGGCCAGGUGGCUGCCGUUGCACACGCCAAGGACGCGGGCAGCGUCACCGUCGAGCUCGCCGACGAGGCGCGCGUCCGCGUCCAGGCCUGCAGCGACCGGAUCGUCGACUCGGUGGCAAACGGCGGUGACAUCUACGGCGUCACCACGGGCUUCGGUGGCACCUCCAACCGUCGCACAAAAGAUGGGCACAGCCUCCAGGUCGAGCUUGUGAGGAUGAAGAUGUAUGAAAUGAGAAAAGGUGGACGCUAUGGCAUUGGGUUCAUUGACCCAAACACCGUUAAUGAAUACACAUGGAAAAUAAACAAGCAUCAUGAAAAAGAGGUAGAGGACAGCAUGUUCGAGUUCUUGAAGCGCCUCAAAUACAAUGAAGAUAUACUACUUCCUUACAACUUUCAAUAUCACCGGAUCUUGUGUAUCAUCAAAGUUGACGCCGGAACAGUUGAAAUACUGGACUCGCUACUCAAAGCAAAUAGUGAGUAUAACAUCUUGUUUGGGAUAGUCAACAGGGCUUAG